UACGUAGGGUGCAAGCGUUAAUCGGAAUACUGGGCGUAAAGCGUGCGCAGACGGUCUCGUAAGUCGGGUGUGAAAUCCCCGGGCUCAACCUGGGAAUUGCAUUCGAAACUGCGAGGCUAGGGUACGGAAGAGGGAAGCGGAAUUUCUGGUGUAGCGGUGAAAUGCGUAGAUAUCAGAAGGAACAUCAGUGGCGAAAGCGGCUUCCUGGUCCAGUACCGACGUUCAGGCACGAAAGCGUGGGGAGCAAACAGG
rnacentral:rRNA from 1 species